rnacentral:lncRNA from 1 species
AUUUGUGGCGUCGUAAACACCGGAAUCUGUUAAAAUGUUUUGACAUGAGUUUGAAGACGUUAGUGUUACAACUAUAUCGGGGGAAGAAGUCGCAAAUUAACUUUCUUACAUUCUUUGUAUUGAAUGCGAAAGUGCUAGAGUCAGUGACACUUGGCAUCACAACCAGGAAUAACAAUGAGAAGUUCUUGGCAAAACAACGCAGGAAGCUUGAGCUAGAGAACAGGGUUUCCAGAGAUGCUCAGUUUCAUUUUAGAACUGGUAGUUGUGUCCGCAGUUCUUAUGAUAUCAAGCAUAUCGGUGAUUUGGAUUUAACCGAUCCAUUUGCACAUAUGUAGCUACUUGUUCUCGCCGGUUGGCCUAUUUCAUUUUGUGUGUUGUCAAACCUGAGUGGUUAGCGUGUUUGUAGUACCUUUUGAGUUUGUAUCAUCUGGUACCUUAGUAGAAUUCGAGAGACUAUUGUUUAUGAUACUUUUGUCAGACGGGCCACAUGUUUGCAACCCUGUGCUAGUUUACAUUAACUCCGGUGUUGGUGUUAUUUCACAUUAUGUUUUAUGGCAUUGUUCUCCGAGUCUCUUUCUUGUUGCCUGUCAACACUGAAUACUUGCCUGAUUUCCCUGAAUAGUGCUGUUGAAGUUAUCGUUUGAUCAACAGUGAAUCACUGAACUCUAUGCUGAAUGUAAAUCUCACCAUUAAAGUUCAACUCUGCUGAUUGUUGUAAUGAUUUUGAAUACCAUUAUCUGAGUAAUACUUGGCACAUAUUUUCGAACUCAUUAUAUGCUCGAGAUGAGAAAUCUGAAGACUUGCUGCUAAAUUGGAACUUUGUUUAAAAACUGAAACAAUAUGUUGUAGAUAGAUUACUGUUAGCAGCAGGAUUUGGAUGAUUCUGAAACACUCUCAAUAGCCGCUGCAGAUCAUCAUUUGUUGUAUCCUUCAGAAGAUACUCAAAUGGUUCCAUGCAAUGUACCUUUGUCAUGUAUACUAUCUGCACCUGAUUUGAUCCGAGCCAUGACAGAAACAGCAGGCUCGAGACCUCUUGAUUGUAUGCUUAUAUAUAUGACUAUGAUACCUUGUGUCAUUUAAACAAGGCAGGUGUAUGUCUACGCUGUCGAUCUUAGCUGCCACUCCCUCUGCCCUACAAUAUAAGACCUGGUUAAUUGUUGAUGACUUCACCAAGCCACUCACCCUGUGGUUUUACUCCACUGAUGUCUCAUUUGAUUUUGUGCAAUGUUGCAUGAAUGUAGAUGCCUAGUUUGGGAGGUGUGCGUUUUGAAGAAUUAGUUAGUAGUGAUAGCCAUAUGACAGAGUCGGAUAAGUGUUUUUUGAGGCCCGGGCUCCCAGAGAAGCUCCAUGAAAGGAACCAAGAGGAAAUUCAACAAGAUUUUUUCCGGUUGCGUGGAAGGUGGGAUUGGAUUGUUAAACUCAAAUACAUGAAAGCCGGGGUUUUGGAUCACCUGUUCUUACCGAGUGUCCAAAAAUAAAAUUUCAGCAGAAGCAAUAUGAUGACCAUGUUAAGGUAAUUGAUAUUUCAGAUUGCACCUAGUUAGACCAUUUGUUCGUCAUUCUAAUUUUGUUUCAUUGUUAUUUGUAUUUUCCAGAGAUACCUCAAGGACACGGAAUUUUUUAACAAGAAUAUCUUCAACUUUUGGUGGAUGAAGUCUCUCUGGAGCCCUAUACCAGCUGAGCGAGCACCACGAUAGAGUGCAGCAUCGGUGAGGAGUGGCGCAAGCUCAAAGAAAGUGAGUGAAGACGGCGAUGACUUUAUGCCAAGCAAACGAGGUCAGGACUGAGGCAAGGCUCAUGUUGCAUCUGACAGGGGUGGCCGUAGAAGAAAGUGAGAGCGGCGACGAUGACUUUAUGCCAAGCAAAAAAGCUCAGAACAGAUCGAAGGGUUGUGAAAGCUCAAAGAAUGGUAGAUUAAGUAAGAGUGUAGCAUCAUCGAAGGGCGCUGAUGCUGAUUACGAUUCCGCUGAUGAGUGUGCAAGCCUAAGGAAGACCUAAAAGGUCCUCUUCGGCCUGAGCGAGGCCGACAGGGUCAUACAUAUUAUAGGAAAUUGUUGAAAAUCUAUAUUAAAAAAUUCUUUAGAAAAUGUUAAGGGUCAAAAAAAUGGUUCUUGGUGUGCACAAAAAAUGUAGGACGUGUAUUAAAAAUUCUUAACAUAAAAACAUAUAAUUAAAAAAUAUGUUCCUGAUAUAUGCUUAAAAUGUAGAUUAUGUAUGGAAAAGGUAGUUAUCAAACACAAUUUUUGAAAUUGUAAUCAUCUAUUUCAAAAAUGUAAAAUGUGUAUCAAAAAAUGUCCUGAUGUAUAAAAAUGUAGAAGCCUCUAGUGAAACCUAUGGCCCUCGGGUCUAUUUUUCAUCAUAUAUUUUCAGAUCUAUAAACCAUAAAUAUCUUGUUGAAAUUUAUUUACUUUUAUUUUGUUUUAUGUUUUAGUAUUUUUUUAUAUCUUAUCUCUAUCAGAUCUCACCUUUGCAAGUGACAGUGAAGGGAUUGACAACCCCUUUAUCGCAUUGGGUGCAAGUGUUUGAUUGUUUGUAUAGGUGCAUAUAUUAGAGACUUGCUUGUAUCUCCUACUGUAUUGAUACCUUGGUUCUUAACUGAGGGAAAUACUUAUCUCUACUUUGCUGCAUCACUCUUUCCUCUUCAAGGGAAAAAUCAACGGAAGCUCAAGAAGAAGCAAUAUGGUAGUGUUUCUCAAUAUCGGUUGGUAUUGAGAUUCAUUUCGACAUCUCAUUUAGAGGCCAUCAAAAUAGUCAUAUUCGGGAGGCCCAACACCAAUUCCAAAAUCCGAGCCUCAAAACAAACAUCCAAACGGGGCCUUAGGCUAUUAUUUUGUAUGUGUGAUUUCAAUCCUUGGGUAGGUGCAUUUGUAUGGUUGGAACCAUCAACUCUCAUGCAAUGCUAAAAAAGGAAACCGAGAAGCCUGGUGUAGGAUCGAAAGUUUUUCUAGAAGAGGGUGAUUAACUACUUGACCAAAUAAAAAUCUAGCCUUUUCCCAAUUUUAAGUCUUGGUAGAUUUUAACAACUUAGCACAAGUCAAGCAAUCAACCUACACAUGCAAGUCUAAGAGUAUAGCAGCGAAAUGUAAAACAUUGCACAUGAAGGUAAAGGAAGGAGUUUGGAGGGAGCAAACGCAAUGUAGACAAGGAGAUUUUUGGCGUGGUUCUGAUAGGUGGUGCUAUCGUACAUCCACGUUGAUGGAGACUUCAACCCACGAAGGGUAAUGGUUGCGCAAGUCCACGAAUGACUCCACCCACGAAGGGUCCACGAAGAAGCAACCUUGUCUAUCCCACCAUGGCCAUCGCCCACGAAGGACUUGCCUCACUAGGGUAGAUCUUCAUGAAGUAGGCGAUCUCCUUGCUCGUACAAACUCCUUGGUUCAACUUCACAAUCUUGACGCAGGCUCCCAAGUGACACCUAACCAAUUUAGGAGACACCACUCUCCAAAAGGUAAUAGACGGUGUGUUGAUGCUGAACUCCUUGCUCUUGUGCUUCAAAUGAUAGUCUCCCCAACACUCAACUCUCUCUCACAGAUUUGGAUUUGGUGGAAAGAUGAUUUGAGUGGAAAGCAACUUGGGGAAGGCUAGAUAUCAAGAUUCAAAUGGUUGGAAUGGAAUAUCUUGGUCUCAACACAUGAGUAGGUGGUUCUCUCUCAGAAAAUGAAUGCUGAAGUGUAGGCACGUUCUGAUGGCUCUCCUUACUAAUGAAGGAAGGAUGGAGGGGUAUAUAUAGCCUCCACACAAAAUCUAACCAUUAGACACAAUUUACCAAACUCGGUGGGACCGAAUCAGAAAACUCGUUCAGACCAAUUUAGUUCAAAAUGUGAGCGUUAGGUUUUUUGGUGGGACCGACAUGUCAACUCUGUGGGACUGAUUUCAUUAGGGUUAGGGCAUAACGUAAUCUCGGUGAGACCGAUUACACAAACUCGGUGGGACCGAUUUUGGUAAUAAGCUAACCAGAGAGUUGGUUAGGAAAACUCAAUGGGACCGAAUCGCUCAUUUCGGUGAGACCAAAACGUUACGAAAGGGAAACAAAGAGUUUGCAUUGCGAACUCGGUGGGACCGAUUGCUCAUAUUGGUUGGAUCGAAACAUUACGAAGGUAAACAGAGAGUUUGCAAUCCCAUCUCGGUGAGACCGAGAGCCCUAUCGGUGAGACCGAAGUGACUAGGGUUUGUGGCAGUGACUAUCUCAAGUGAACUNNNNNNNNNNNNNNNNNNNNNNNNNNNNNNNNNNNNNNNNNNNNNNNNNNNNNNNNNNNNNNNNNNNNNNNNNNNNNNNNNNNNNNNNNNNNNNNNNNNNNNNNNNNNNNNNNNNNNNNNNNNNNNNNNNNNNNNNNNNNNNNNNNNNNNNNNNNNNNNNNNNNNNNNNNNNNNNNNNNNNNNNNNNNNNNNNNNNNNNNNNNNNNNNNNNNNNNNNNNNNNNNNNNNNNNNNNNNNNNNNNNNNNNNNNNNNNNNNNNNNNNNNNNNNNNNNNNNNNNNNNNNNNNNNNNNNNNNNNNNNNNNNNNNNNNNNNNNNNNNNNNNNNNNNNNNNNNNNNNNNNNNNNNNNGGUGGCGCCGGAUGAAACAUUUUUGGUGGGGCCGAGUUUGAUUUUUGGUUUGGGACAUAUGUGGAUAUGAGAAGGUGGUUAAGGGUUUUUGGAGCAUAUCACUAAGCAUUUUGAGCAAGCAAGCCAUUAAGCAACACCUCAUCCCCUUUUAAUAGUAUUGCCUUUUCCUAUGGACUCAAUGUGAUCUUGGAUCACUAAAAGUAAAAUGUAGAGUCUUGAGCUUGAGCCAAUAUGUGUCCUUAGCAUUUUGAGGGGUCCACAAUCCUAAUCCAUGCCAUGCCAAUCAUUGAACUUUCCUUAAAUAUUUAUCUUGAAAUAGCAUUAGCUCAAUGAGCUAUAUGUUGUUAAUAAUUACCAAAACCACCCAGGGAUAGUGGCACUUUCAAUCUUCCUCUUUUUGGUAAUUGAUGACAACAUAUAGAUCAAAGCUUCGACAAAUGAUAAUAAGAUUUAAAUACAUCGUCGCUUUGAGAAGUAUGUGAUAAGCAAGAGCUCUCCCUAAAUUUGUGCACUAUUUUAGAUUUGCUUUUUAAUGCAAAUGUACAAUCGAUUAGGAUCACGGGUCACUCUUCCAUGUCACAUACAUCUUGGUGGAGCGCUCAAAAUGAUAUAAAUUAAAACAUGCACUCAUCACCAAGCAAAGUGAAUAAUCAUAUAAGAAUAUAAAGAAUAAUGUCAUCCAAGCAAACAUUAAAGUAGCAUGUGAUCAAACACAUGAUCAUGCAAGUAUCUCACAUAGACAUAAAGUAUCAAACAGGCACACAAUAAAGUUCAACCAAAAUGCAAGAGAGACACAUGAGGGAAACACUCUCUCUCGAAGCCUAUGAUCUAUACAUUUCUCCCCCUUUGGCAACAAGUUACCAAAAAGUUUGAAAAUUCAUAGUGCUAUGCGUCUCUCAGGCUUGGUCUUCGGGAGGUGGUGUAGAGAGAACUCCAAGGACGAAGGCAUCAGUUGAUGUGGUUGGAGCUGAUGGAGCAGGUGCUAGAGGUGGCACUGAAGCUGUCGCUGCUGGUGCAGAUGAAGUAGCUCUUGUAUCUGAUACUGGCACUACAGCUGACCUCUGAUUCCUUGGCACACGCUGAAAAGCAUCCGUAGUUGCAUUCCCUCUCUUCUCCUCUGCUUCCUCCUAGAGCUGCUCGACUGCACUCUAUAUCUCAGUCACCUUGAGGUCAAGAUCAUACAAUUUUGUCUCAACAAUCCUUUCCAAGCUUUCCUAAUUCUGGGUCAGGGUGGCCAAGCCCUUCUCAAUCCUCAAUGUUGCCUGAAUUAGAUAACCUAGCUGAUCUUGUUUGCUCUUUAAGAAUACCUGAGAUGCUUCCUUAGCACUUGGCAUCCUUGCAGCCUUUUCUGUCUUUGCCUUAGCUCUCUUCUCUUAUGCUUGUGCUGAUGAAGGUUCAUUCUCAUUCAUCACAACUGUGUUAUCUUCAAAAUCUUGGUGCAAGGGUAAAUGCUCCUUGUCCAACAAGUAAGUACAUGUGCCGAUCUUUGAGUUAAUGAGCACCUGAAUGCGUGGAGCAUACCCACAAGAUCUUUUCUGGUUAGUAGCUAUCCUCUUGAUUGUCUCCACAAUCAGACUCAUGACCUUGAAUUUUUGUGGUACAUCAAAGAUUUGCAGCAAGUUGAUGGAUUGCCUUAAGAUGGUGUUCAUAGUAGGCAGACCAGACAACAAAUAGUGCACAAAUCCAAACUUGUGUGUCUCCAAAGCUUUGUCAGGGAUCUCCUUGUACAUGUUUGCCAUAAAGUUGUGGUCCUUCUUCUUUUUGGCAUACACAUCCAAAUCAUCUUCUUGCUCUUCUGAGGCAUUGAUCAACUUGGCCCAUUCAUCAAUAGUUGAUUGGUACCUCGUACCUUCAGACAUCCACACGAUUCUGCCAUCUGGAUAGAAAUGAGUAGUGGAGUAGAACUGCAUAAUGAGUUCAUCAUUCCAUUUGGUCAACUUUUGACCCACAAACUCAUCAACUCCACAAGCUUUGAAGCUUUCAUGUACACCUGGGAAGAAGUCUUCAUUCUCAUUAAUGAAUUCCCAAUCGACCCAUUUCAUAUCACAGACAAUUGGCUUCUUGUCAAGCAGAAUGGUCUCAUAGAAAUCUUGUUGUUCCUUGGUGUGGAACCUAUAGUCCAAUGUAGUUCUCCUUCUUACAACAUAUGGAUCAGACUGCCUCCAAAGUCUCAAUCCUGCAUCCUUUCUGAUGUUCAUGUCCUCAGCCACUGGAUGAGUGUCAUUGUGUUCUGAAAUCUUUGGUUUCGGUUUUCUCAGCACUUGGGCUUCUGCAUCUUCUUCUUCAGCUUCAGGCACUGGUGCCUUGUUCUUUUCUUCAGUAGGAAUGUUUCCGGUGCUUCUCUUGGGUUUAGAAGGCUUAUGAGCUUGAGCUGUUGCUUUGGGAGCAAUUUUGGGCUUUGAUGUUGCAGCCCCUGACUUGAUUGCAUCUCCCAUGAGCUUCUGAGACUUGGGUGCUGGUGCAGCAUCCUCUUCAUCUUCAUCUUCUUCUGGCUCUCUCAUUAUGGAGGAUCUACCAAGCACUCUGGCAGUUAUCUUCUUGACCCUCUCAUUCCUCUUCUUUCCCUCUCCAGCAGCCUCUCCAGUUGGCUUAGAUGUUUCAGCAGUUGAGACUCUGACCUUUAAGGUUGGCACCCUCUUGGCAGGGGCCUUCUUGUGCAGCAGUACCCUUCUUGACCAGGCUUUGUAGUUGCAGCAGUACCAUACUAUUGUUGGGGAACAUAGUAAUUUCAAAAAAAAUCCUACGCACAUGCAAGAUCAUGGUGAUGCAUAGCAACGAGAGGGAGAGUGUUGUCUAUGUACCCUCGUAGACCAUAAUUGGAAGCGUUAUGACAAAGCGGUUGAUGUAGUCAUACGUCUUCACAAUCGACCGAUCCUAGCACCAAAAGUAUGGCACCUCCGCGAUCUGCACACGUUCAGCUUGGUGACGUCCACGAACUCACGAUCCAGCAGAGUGUCGAGGGAGAGCUUCUGUAACACCCUCGAUGGGGCUAUAUCUGCCACGUGUCGAAGCACGACUUAGAGGCAUAACCGCAUUGAAAGCAAUGUCGCAAGUGAGGUAAUCUUCACAAACAACCCAUGUAAUACAAUAGGGGAAAAGAUACAUAGUUGGCUUACAAUCUCCACUUCACACAAAUACAUGAAUACAACAUUACAACAUCCAAAUACAAUCAAGGUCUGACUACGGAACCAAAAUAAAAGAAGAACCCCAAAAGCGACAAGGUCCCCGAUCGACCCCAACUAGGCUCCACUACUGAUCAACUGGAAACAGAUCAACACAAAGGCCAAGAUCUUCAUCGAGCUCCUCCUAAGCUUGGUUGCGUCAUCUCCACGAACUCAUCGGCACCUGCAAGCUUGUUUGGAAGUAUCUGUGAGUCACGGGGACUCAACAAUCUCACACCCUCGCGAUCAAGACUAUUUAAGCUUAUGGGUAAGGUAAAAGGUAUGAGGUGGAGCUGCAGCAAGCGACUAGCAUAUAUGGUGGCUAACCUAUUCGCAAAAGAGAGCGAGAAGAGAAGGCAAAAGCACGGUCAAACAACUAUGAUCAAGAAGUGAUCCUAGAACAACCUACGUCAAGCAUUACUCCAACACCGUGUUCACUUCCCGGACUCCGCCGGAAAGAGACCAUCACGGUUACACACGCGGUUGAUGUAUUUUAAUUAAGGUCAACUUCAGGUUUUCUACAACUGGACAUUAACAAAUUCCCAUCUGCCCAUAACCGCGGGCACGGCUUUCGAAAGUUCAAAUCCCUGCAGGGGUGUCCCAACUUAGCCCAUCACAAGCUCUCACGGUCAACGAAGGAUAUUCCUUCUAGCGGGAAGACCCGAUCAGACUCGGAAUCCCGGUUACAAGACAUUUCGACAAUGGUAAAACAAGUCCAGCAACACCGCCCGAAUGUGCCAACAAAUCCCGAUAGGAGCUGCACAUAUCUCGUUCUCAGGGCACACUCAGAUGAGACAUCCUACGAGUAAAACCAACCCUCAAGUUGCCCCGAGGUGGCCUUGCAGUCUACUCGGUCGGACCAACACUCAAAGGAGCACUAGCCCACGAAGGGUAACGGUUGCGCGAGUCCACAGAGGGCUCCACCCACGAAGGGUCCAUGAAGAAUCAACCUUGUCUAUCCCACCAUGGCCAUCACCCACGAAGGACUUGCUUUACUAGGGUAGAUCUUCAUGAAGUAGACGAUCUCCUCGCCCGUACAAACUCCUUGGUUCAACUCCACAAUCUUGAAGGAGGCUCCCAAGUGACAGCUAACCAAUCUAGGAGACAGCACUCUCCAAAAGGUAAUAGAUAGUGUGUUGAUGAUGAACUCCUUGCUCUUGUGCUUCAAAUGAUAGUCUACCCAACACUCAACUCUCUCACACAGAUUUGGAUUUGGUGGAAAGAUGAUUUGAGUGGAAAGCAAUUUCGGGAAGGCUACAGAUCAAGAUUCAAAUGGUUGGAAUGGAAUAUCUUGGUCUCAACACAUGAGUAGGUGGUUCUCUCUCAGAAAAUGAAUGCUGAAGUGUAGGCACGUUCUGAUGGCUCUCAUUACUAAUGAAGGAUGGGUGGAGGGGUAUAUAAAGCCUCCACACAAAAUCUAACCGUUACACACAAUUUCACAAACUCGAUGGGACCGAAUCAGAAAACUCGGUCAGACUGAUUUAGUUCAAAAUGUGAACGUUGGGUUUUUUGGUGGGACCGACAUGUCAACUCGGUGGGACCGAUUUCAUUAGGAUAGGGUAUAACGUAAUCUCGGUCAGACCGAUUACACAAACUCGGUGGGACGAUUUUAGUAAUAAGCUAACCAGAGAGUUGGUCAGGCAAACUCGGUGGGACCGAAUCGCUCAUUUCGGUCAGACCGAAAUGUUACGGAAGGGAAACAGAGAGUUUGCAUUGCGAACUUGAUGGGACCAAUCGCUCAUCUCGGUUGGAUCGAAACAUUACGAAGGGAAACAGAGAGUUUGCAAUCUCAUCUCGAUGAGACCGAGAUCCCUAUCGGUGAGACCGAAGUGACUAGGGUUUGUGGCAGUGGCUAUGUCAAGUGAACUCGGUGGCGCCGGAUGGAUCAUUUCGGUGGGGCCGAGUUUGAUUUUUGGUUUGGUACAUAUGUGGAUAUGAGAGAGUGGUUGAGGGUUUUUGGAGCAUAUCACUAAGCAUUUUGAGCAAGUAAGCCAUUAAGCAACACCUCAUCCCUUUUUAAUAGUAGUGGCUUUUCCUAUGGACUCAAUGUGAUCUUGGAUCACUGAAAGUAAAAUGUAGAGUCUUAAGCUUGAGCCAAUAUGUGUCCUUAGCAUUUUGAGGGGUCCACAAUCCUAAUCCAUGCCAUGCCAAUCAUUGAACUUUCCUGAAAUAUUUAUCGUGAAAUAGCAUUAGAUCAAUGAGCUAUAUGUUGUUAAUACUUACCAAAACCACCCAGGGAUAGUUGCACUUUCAACUGGUAUUUUUUAUGUAUAACAUUGAAAAAUUGUUUUGAGAAACCACAAAAUUUGUCAUGUCUUUGAGGUGGGAGUGCCGAAUGCUGCCAGCCAUCCGAAAUUGGUGUAAGAAAACUAAAGCAGAAUUGGAGCAGGGUGAUAACAUAGCAAAGCGACAUGAUGAUUGAAGAGCUAAAUCCGAGAGGCUCGUUAUAGUUUCAUUUGUUGGCUAGUGGCAAUGCAUGGGCAUUUAAUUUUAACAUACUAGUGGGUUCUCUAUCCACACUUGUCGUAUUCAUAAUUCAGGUUGCAUCCCACCAAUAUUCAAUUAGCCAUGAUGACAUGGUAAGAAUAGUUUGUUGUAGCGACCACACCUCAAAUGUUCUGAUCUCUGUGCUCAGGUGUCAUCCCUGGAUCAAUAAUGCUCACACCACACAGUACUCGGAGUAUUUAUAACAGAGUAGCAAUCACACACUUAUUACAAUGAAUAUGGCUUAAGGCCAUCUAAUAACGAUAACAGCGGAAGGCUUGGAAGAUAAGUGAGUCCAUCAACUCCAACGGCAUCACUGAGUAUAGAACCACGACCUAAAACUCCUUAAUCAUCGUCUGAAAAGUCUGCAACAUUAACGUUGCAGCCCGAAACGGGUCAGCACAUGGAAUAUGCUGGCAAGGUAACACAUAGAGAGUAAUGGAAUGAAACAACUAUAGUAUAUGCAUAUUUGGCUGGUGGAAAGCUCUAUGGUUACAGUUUUGCGUAAAGCCAAUUUUCCCCUACUGCAAAGGAAUAAAUUUUAUUUAACUAUCAUGGUAGUUGUUAAACAUUGAGAAUGGUUGACAACAUUCUCAAUCCCAAUUAAGCAUCAUCAUUAAACAAAACCCAACAAAAUUGAUUUUUAGAGUAACAUGUUGAGAUUCACAUGAUAAUCCAAGUACUAGAUACUCAAGCUGUCCAUAACCGGGGACACGGCUAACCAUGAUUAGUUUAUACACUCUGCAGAGGUUUGCGCACUUUUCCCCACAAGACUCGAUCGUCUCUAUUUGCUUUCUCGCACUAUAUGGUGUUUGAGAAGACGGAUGACCGAGACAUAGUCUUUCAAAAGCGCUAGCACCUUACGAUGGAUAGACCGUUACACCUACUUUCCCCUACAUCUGCUAGUCUACCCUAUAAGAGUUCGCACGACUUAAUCAACUAUGCUAGAGCCCAUAAUAGCUUGUGGCUGCACAUGGAAGUUUCUAGUAUGAAAAAUCUCACGAUCCCUUUGGGCCUGGGUGGCGGUCCAUAAAGAAAAACAGGCAAUCCUGGAAUACCCAGGUACCUCAAUCCACCCAGAUGUGUGUUUAAGUUUCCACCUUAGAUAAACCAUUAAUUAACAAACUCACAUCUGUCAUGGAUAUCACUCACCCAAUCCAUGUCUACUAGCAUAGCAUGGCAUAAUAGGCAACGUAGAAGUAACUCCCAAAGGUUUGAUAAUAUAACAGGUAAUAGGUACUACCUCAACUACUUCCCAUCCCACAAUUUAAUUAGAUCCUAAUCAUGCAAUGUUUGAGGAUUUAUCUAAUGCAAUAAAACUGGGUAGUAGGAGGUAUGAUCAAAGUGUUACUUGCCUUGCUGAUGAUCCGUGAAACCUAGCGAUUCGAAGUAACAGGCGGCGCACUCCGGGUAUUCUAUCGCAGACAAACAAACAAGCAUACAAUAAGUAUUCAUCUAAUGCACAGGUAAAACUCGAAUAAGAGAUCGAACUAGAAGGUUCAACUUAAGAACUCCGGUUUGCAAAAAGAAUCAAAUCAAACGAAGGAACGAAAGUCAAACGGCAAAAGAAACAAGCUUCGUUUACUAUUCUGGAUCUAGGGCAAUUUUUAUAGUGGCAAAAACUUGUUUAAGUUGGUUAAACGGAUAGAGGGUUUCGAGACGAAACUCCAGGCGCUUGAAUCGCCUGAAUCCGAUAAACGAGCGAAAAGUUAUACUAAAACGAAAAUCAGAUCAGGAAUCGCGAUCAGAAAAAUCGCGGAUUUAAUCCGAGAAAAAGAAAAACGACGAACGUUCGCUAGAAUGAAUGAACGGACGAACGCUCGCUAAAUAAAUAAAUCGGAAAAACCAAUCUAUUUAAAAAAAUGAAACUAAAAAAAAUUAAAAAAAACCGCGACUUUUUUUCCUCUUUAUUUUUAAAUUAUUCCGCGCAGAAAAACAAAUAAAAGAAAUACUAAACAGACUCCAAAAAUCCCGAAAUAAGUUUUCUCGGGCUUCUAAAAUAAAGCCGCACAAGGUGAACAUUUAUUUGGGGCCUAAAUGCAAUUUUGAAAAAUGCACAUGUUUCCUAAAUUCAAAUAAAAUACCGAAAAACUCUGAAAUAAAAUCUUAUUUGAUUUUAUUAUUAAAUCCUCAAUAUUUCUUUAUUUUGGGGAAGUCAUUUUAUUCUCUCUCUCAUAUUUUUGUAAUAGAAAUAAUUGAUGAUAAAAUAAUUAAAAUCAAAUGAUCCUAUUCGCAAAAUUUGAGAAAACUCAAAUAUGAAAAUAAUGAAAUCCCCAACUCUCUCCGUGGGUCCUUGAGUUGCGUGGAAUUUCUAGGAUCAAAACGAAAAGCAAAUAAAUUAUGAUAUGCAAUGAUGGUCUAAUGUAUAACAUUCCAAAUUGAAAAUUUGGAAUGUUACAAACCUACCCCCCCUUAAGAUGAAUCUCGCCCUCGAGAUUCAGGUUGGCUAGAAAAUAGGUGAGGGUGGUCCUUGAGAAAAUCUUCCUCUCGCUCCCAGGUGGCUUCAUCCUCCGUGUGGUGGCUCCACUAAACCUUACAGAACUUGAUAACCUUGCUGCGGGUGACUCGACUGGCAUACUCUAGAAUCUUAACUGGUUUCUCCUCAUAGGUCAAAUCGUUAUCCAACUGAAUUGCUUCCAAUGGCACGGUGUCUCUCAAAGGUAUGUCAGCUAUCUCUGCGUGGCACUUCUUCAACUGAGAAACAUGGAACACAUCAUGAACUCCUGACAAUCCUUCGGGCAAUUCCAACUUGUAGGCCACUUCUCCCAUACGUUCCAAUACUCGGUAUGGUCCUACAAAUCAUGGCGCUAACUUUCCUUUAACACCAAAGCGCUUUGUUCCCCGAAGUGGGGAUACUCGAAGAUAAUCUCUAUCUCCAACUUCGUAAACUGUCUCCUUGCGUUUAGAAUCUGCAUAACUCUUCUGUCUGGACUGGGCUAUCUUGAGCCUAUCGCGAAUCAAUUUCACCUUCUAUUCAGACUCCUUAAUCAAGUCAGGUACAAACAACUGGCGGUCUCCAACUUCAUCCCAUGUCAAGGGUGUCCUGCACCUCCUUCCGUACAAGGCUUCGAAAGGGGCCAUCUUUAAACUGGAUUGAUAGUUGUUGUUGUAAGAGAACUCUGCAUACAGCAAAUUCUCGUCCCAACUAGAUCCAUAAUCUAGCGCACAAGCUCUCAGCAUGUCCUCCAAAAUCUGAUUGACUCUCUCGGUCUAUCCAUCUGUCUGUGGAUGAAAAGCUGUGCUGAACUCUGGCCUAGUACCCAAAGUUUCGUGCAACUAAUUCCAGAACUUUGAGGUAAACUGGGUUCCUCUAUCUGAUACUAUACUCCUCGGAACACCAUGUAAGCAUACAAUCCUGGUCAUGUAUAUCUUUGCCAACUUAGCACUGGUGUAAGUGGUCUUUACCGGGAUGAAAUGAGCUACUUUCGUCAACCGAUCAACUACAACCCAAAUCGAGCCAUAGCCUGAACAAGUCCUGGGUAAUCCCGUGAUAAAAUCCAUGCCUAACUUAUCCCACUUCCAUUCGGGUAUCGGCAAUGGCUGUAGCAAUCCUGCUGGCUUCUGAUGCUUUGCCUUUACUCUCUGACAUACAUCACAAACUGCUACAUACUCUGCAAUAUAUUUCUUCAUUCCGGUCCACCAGAAAAUAUCCUUCAAAUCCAAAUACAUCUUGGUAUUUCCUGGGUGAAUCGAAUAUGGUGAAUUGUGUGCCUCUUGCAGAAUCAACUUCCUGAUCUCUGGGUCACUUGGCACAUAAACACGGUCUUCAAACCAUAGGGUGUCGUGCUCAUCCUCACGAAAUCCUUUAGCCUUUCCUUCGCUCAUUUUCUCCUUUAUAGAGGCAAUCUCCUUGUCAGUCUUCUGAGCUUCUCUGAUUCUAUCCAUCAAAGUUGACUGAAUCUCCAAUGCUGCUACAUAGCCUCUCGAAACUAUUUCCAAACAUAGUUCACGAAUAUUUUCGGCUAACUCCCUUGGUAUUUCUCCCGUUAUUAGUGUAUUGACAUGGCUUUUGUGACUUAAUGCGUCAGCUACUACAUUAGCCUUUCCGGAUGGUAAUGCAAUCUCAUAUCAUAAUCCUUGAUGAGCUCCAACCAUCUCCUUUGUCUGAGGUUCAACUCCUUCUGCGUGAAAAUGUACUUCAAACUCUUGUGAUCCGUGUACACCUCACAAUGAUUUCCAAAGAGGAAAUGUCUCCAAGUCUUUAGUGCAUGCACUACGGCUGCUAACUCCAAAUCAUGCGUAGCAUAAUUCAACUCGUGAGGUUUAAGCUGUCUUGAGGCAUAUGAAACAACUCUCCCUUCCUGCAUAAGCACUGCUCCAAGUCCUUGACGUGAAGCGUCGCAGUACACCUCAUAAUCCUUGGUCUGGUCUGGCAAAAUCAACACUGGUGAAGUAACCAAGUGUUUCUUCAACUCCUGGAAACUAGCCUCACACUCCUCAGUCCAUAUGAACUUGGUAUCCUUCUUCAACAACUCUGUCAUAGGCUUCGCAAUCUUUGAGAAAUUCUCAAUGAAUCUCCGGUAGUAUCCUGCGAGUCCAAGGAAACUCCGGAUCUCUCCAACUGUUGUUAGUGCCUCCCACUUGGUCACGGUAUCAACUUUAGUGGGAUCUACUGAUAUACCUUCUCCGGAUAUAACGUGUCCGAGGAAUCCUACUUCCUUCAACCAAAACUCACAUUUGCUGAACUUGGCAUACAACUGAUGUUCUCUGAGCUUCUCAAGUACCAAUCGCAAAUGCUCCUUAUGCUCCUCUUCACUUUUCGAGUAAACCAGAAUAUCAUCAAUGAACACCACGACGGACUUAUCCAAGAACUCCAUAAACACUUUGUUCAUCAUGUUCAUAAAAUAGGCAGGUGCGUUAGUCAGACCAAAUGACAUAACGGUAUACUCGUACAACCCAUACCUGGUGGUAAAAGCUGUCUUAGGUAUAUCAUGUUCUCGAAUCUUCAACUGGUGGUAUCCUGAUCGCAGAUCGAUCUUGGAAAAUACCUUAGGUCUUUGCAAUCGAUCAAACAGAUCAUUGAUCAUUGGUAGUAGGUACUUGUUUUUGAUGGUUACUUCAUUCAAUCCUCGAUAAUCAAGAACCAUCCUUAACGAUCCAUCCUUUUUCUCCACUAGAAGUACUGGUGAUCCCCAAGGCAACGAACUUGGGCGAAUGUAACCUUUAUCCAGUAACUCCUCAAUCUGCUUCUUAAUUUCCACCAAAUCCUUUGCAGGCAUCCUGUAUGGUCUCUUUGAUAUUGGCCCUGUGCCUGGCAAUAGCUCAAUCAAAAACUCAAUAUCUCUAUCCGAUGGCAUGCCUAGCAACUCUUCUGGAAAUACUUCAGGGAAAUCCCUUACCAUUGGCACCUCCUCCUGCACAACUCCUGUUAAACAAUUUACUUGAGUCCCUUUUGGCACAUGUAGGGAUACAUACUUGAUCCUUCUUCCUUCUGGGAUAGUAAGCAAAAUUGUCUUACUGGCGCAAUCAAUGUUUCCUCCGUACAUCGGCAGCCAAUCCAUACCCAAAAUUACAUCUAAUCCUUGUGAUUCCAAAAUGAUUAGAUCCGAGGGAAACACAUGCCUACCUAUACUCAAUGGCACUUGAAUACAUCCUUGACUGGCCAUAUACUCCACUCCUGGUGAGCUUACUAGCAUAGGUGUUCUAAGAACCUUAGUGGGCAAGUUAUACUUAUCCACAAAUCCCGUAGAUAUGUAUGAAUGUGAUGCACCAGUAUCAAAAAGAACGAGUGCAGUAAUUGACUUAACCAAAAACUUACCGAUUAUGGCAUCCGGUUGCUCUUCAACCUCCUCCACAUUAACGUGGUUCACCUGUUCCCUGUUGAAAGGGUUUGGCUUCUUCCUAGAGCUUCCAUUGUCAUUCUGGCCUUCAGGACAUUCAUUGGCAUAAUGUUCGGUCUUCUGGCACUUAAAGCAAGUGACUUGGCUCAGGUCCUUCUUGGCUGGGGUUGAUGGGUUGGUGCGAUUCUGGCCAUUGCUUCCUCCAUUCCCAUUACCAUUCUUGGUGCCGUUGUGAUUGUGCGAGCUACCUCCUCCAUGGGUAUGCUGAAAAUGUCCUCCCGGUCUAGGGGUAAAACGUGGCUUCUGCUGAGCUCCCGAAUUGUACUUCCCUUGUCCAUACUUCCUCUUGCGGUUCUCAAUUUGCUGCUGCUUGCCUUCAAUCAUAAGAGCACGGUCUACCAACUCCUGGUAGUUGUUGAAGGUUGCUACCAUCAACUGCAUGCUCAACUCAUCAUUCAGUCCUUCCAGAAACUUCUCCUUCUUAGCUGCAUCCGUAGCAACAUCAUCUGGGGGCAUAACAUGCUAAUUUACUAAAGUCCUCCACAUACUGGCCAACUAUUCGUCCUCCUUGGCGCAAGUUGCGAAACUCUCACUUCUUCAUGGCCAUAGCUCCUGCUGAAACAUGGGCAGUACGAAAAGCCUACUGAAACUAGUCCCAAGUGACAGUAUCGACGGGAAAAGUGGCUGUGAAAUUCUCCCACCAUGAUGCUGCGGGUCCUUCAAGCUGAUGUGCGGCAAACUUCACCUUCUCCGCAUCUGUGCAUCCUGAUGUGGUCAACUCUCUAGCGGUCUUGCGGAGCCAAUCAUCUGCUACUAUCGGCUCGAUGCUAUUGGAAAACACCGGCGGAUUCAGCCUAAGAAAACAGGCUAAGUGAUCAACAGGUGGUGGUGGUGGUGGUGGGUUGUUGUUGUUGUUCCCCUGAUUCUGAUUCUGGACUAGCAACUGCAUCAAUGUGUUCUGCUGCUGGAUCAACUAGGUGAGCUCCGGUGGAAAGGUAAAUCCGGGGUCACGUCUCGGAGGCAUCUGAGGGUUUAGAAAAGAUGAGAAUUUAGAAUAGAGGGGGUCUAAAGAGAAAACACUACCCAUAUGCACAUGAGGCAAAAGCAAACAAUUCACUUCAUUCAAUCAAACAAGGGCAUACAAUCGAUCUCACUAUCGCAAAAGUGCUCGGACUACUGUGUUUACAUGGUGGACUACUACUACUGAUGAGGUGGUCUACUAGAAAUAUUCUUCGGUUGCAGACUCCAUGAUAUCUGCUCCGGCUUCAUCAACAUAGUCAUCAUCGCUGUCAUCUGGGUCUGAGUCGGUGUCACCGAUGAUGAUGUAGUCUUCCGGGCGAAUCUCCUUGGGUUCUUCGUCUUCAUCUACUAAUGUAGGGCCUCCCAUAAGUAUCCCGAUCUUCUUGAUCAGAUCGUCAUUCUUCUCCACCAAUACUUCAAUUUCCUCUUCAUAAUAUUCACGUGUAGCCUUAAGUUCUUCCUCUAGUUCCUUGAUUCUUGUCCUUGCCUUCUUCAGGUCUAUCAUGUCGGUGCACAUCUGGUUCUCCUGUCGUCGAAUGUGCUGGUUUAAUUCCUGGAUAAAAGCUGCAACUGAUCUAUCCUUCCUGGUGCUGAUCAUCUCCCAGUGUUCAUCUCGGCGCCCACAAAUCUGGUAGAUAGUAUCCUUGAGAUCAUUGCGGUAGACUUCUCCAAUGCGUCACAUGGCGAUGUGAGCUGCCAUGCUCUUUCCUAGACUCCAACUUGGUGCAUCAAAAGAAAACUCUAUCCGCUCAGUGACUGGCAUGAACGUCCUUCCUGGAACUUGAACUUGAAUCAUCCAGCGCUCUUCUUCAGGCAAAGUGGCAUUGUAGGUUCCGGUGAAGCUUGGUACUCCUAUGUUCAGGUAUCUAGUCUCUUCCUUCAAGUGACGUCCAAAGGGUGUAUUGUCAUCCGGUUGCGUGAACUUGUUCCUUGCAUCCGCCAUCCUAAAGAGUAGAAAAGAUGAGAGGUCAGAAGAGAAGAGAGUGAAUAGUGAUCUAGGUCUUUAGCUUAGUGGUCGUGUCCUACAGCCAGCGUGUGCUCUGAUACCAUCUCUGUAGCGACCACACCUCAAACGGUCUGAUCUCUGUGCUCAGGUGUCAUCCCUGGAUCAGUAAUGCUGACACCACACAGUACUCGGAGGAUUUAUAACAGAGUAGCAAUCACACACUUAUUACAAUGAAUAUGGCUUAAGGCCAUCUAAUAACGAUAACAGCGGAAGGCUUGGAAGAUAAGUGAGUCCAUCAACUCCAACGGCAUCACUGAGUAUAGAACCACGACCUAAAACUCCUUAAUCGUCGUCUAAAAAGUCUACAACAUUAACGUUGCAGCCCGAAACGGGUCAGCACAUGGAAUAUGCUGGCAAGGUAACACAUAGAGAGUAAUGGAAUGAAACAGCUAUACUAUAUGCAUAUUUGGCUGGUGGAAAGCUCUAUGGUUAUAGUUUUGCGUAAAGCCAAUUUUUCCCUACUGCAAAGGAAUAAAUUUUAUUUAACUAUCAUGGUAGUUGUUAAACAUUGAGAAUGGUUGACAGCAUUCUCAAUCCCAAUUAAGCAUCAUCAUUAAACAAAACCCAACAAAAUUAAUUUUUAGAGUAACAUGUUGAGAUUCACAUGAUAAUCCAAGUACUAGAUACUCAAGCUGUCCAUAACCGGGGACACGGCUAACCAUGAUUAGUUUAUACACUCUGCAGAGGUUUGUGCACUUUUCCCCACAAGACUCGAUCGCCUCCGUUUGGUUUCUCUCACUACAUGGUGUUUGAGAAGAUGGAUGACCGAGACAUAGUCUUUCAAAAGCGCUAGCACCUUACGAUGGAUAGACCGUUACACCUACUUUCCCCUACAUCUGCUAGUCUACCCUGUAAGAGUUCGCACGACUUAAUCAACUAUGCUAGAGCCCAUAAUAGCUUGUGGCUGCACACGGAAGUUUCUAGUAUGAAAAAUCUCAUGAUCCCUUUGGGCCUGGGUAGCGGUCCAUAAAGAAAAACAGGCAAUCCUGGAAUACCCAGGUACCUCACUCCACCUAGAUGUGUGUUUAAGUUGCCACCUUAGAUAAACCAUUAAUUAACAAACUCACAUCUGUCAUGGAUAUCACUCACCCAAUCCAUGUCUACUAGCAUAGCAUGGCAUAAUAGGCAACGUAGAAGUAACUCCCAAAGGUUUGAUAAUAUUACAGGUAAUAGGUACUACCUCAACUACUUCCCAUCCCACAAUUUAAUUAGAUCCUCGUCGGUGUCAAAACCGGCGGAUCUCGGUUAGGGGGUCCCGAACUGUGCGUCUAGGCCAAAUGGUAAUAUGAGGCAAGGGACACGAAGUUUUACCCAGGUUUGGGCCCUCUUGAUGGAGGUAAAACCCUACGUCCUUCUUGAUUAAUAUUGAUGAUAUGGGUAGUACAAGAGUAGAUCUACCACGAGAUCGGAGAGGCUAAACCCUAGAAGCUAGCCUAUGGUAUGCUUGUUGUUCUAUAUGUUGUCCUACGGACUAAAACCCUCCGGUUUAUAUAGACACCGGAGAGGGUUAGGGUUACAUAAAGUCGGUUACAAUGGUAGGAGAUCUACAUAUCCGUAUCGCCAAGCUUGCCUUCCACGCCAAGGAAAGUCCCUUCCGGACACGGGACGAAGUCUUCAAUCUUCUAUCUUCACAGUCCAGGAGUCCGGCUGAAGGUAUAGUCCGGCCAUCCGGACACCCCCUAAUCCAGGACUCCCUCAGUAGCCCCUGAACCAGGCUUCAAUGACGAUGAGUCCGGCGCGCAGAUUGUCUUCGGCAUUGCAAGGCGGGUUCCUCCUCCAAGUACUUCAUAGAAGAUUUUGAACACAAAGAUAGUGUCCGGCUCUGCAAAAUAAGUUUCCACAUAUUGCCAUAGAGAGAAUAAUAUUUACACAAAUCUAAUCUGCUGACGUAUUCCGUAGUGUGACGCACCACGACCAAGCCUUUAUUCGAAUCGUUUUAUUAUCCCACCUCAGCGCAUCAUGCGAGGCGGUUUCCUUGGCACGUCUUGUCGAAGCAGAGAUCGUGUCCCCUUAUUCCGGGAUUCUCAUCAAUACGGGCGUGGGUAACCCAACCGCGCCAUUGAUUACGGCGCUUGGGGAUAAGCGAGUUUUACCAGGCUGGUGGGGACACGUAGUUGCGUCCACCCAUAUAAGGGGAUAAGGAUCCACCUUUUUACCUACGCCUUCUUCCUCCUUUGCCCAUCCAUUCUUGCGCACUCGAGCUCCAGCGCCCAAAUCCACACUCCCCACCUCAACCUCCUCCAGCCAUGUCCAGAGCGGGAGGCAAGUGGAUGGUCUCCUUCGUCACGGAGGGACACAUCAAAAAACUGAGGAAGGCCGGAUACUUAUCCAACGACAUCGCGUACCGGCUUCCCGAAGAGGGGCAACUCCUCCCCACCCCAAGGCCCCAUGAGAGGGUAGUGUUCCUUUCCCACUUCCUCCGCGGACUGGGCUUUCCUAUCCACCCAUUCGUCCGGGGACUCAUGUUCUACUACGGCCUGGAUUUCCAUGAUCUGGCCCUGAACUUCAUCCUCAACAUCUCGGUGUUUAUCGUCGUGUGCGAGGCUUUCCUCUGCAUCCGCCCCCAUUUUGGCCUAUGGUUCAAGACUUUCAGUGUCAAGCCGAAGGUGGUGCGCGGCAACCAGGCGGAGUGCGGAGGCGCCAUGGUGGGCAAGAUGCCCAACGUCUUAUGGCUCGAGGUCUCCUUUGUGGAGACCCUGAAGGGGUGGCAAUCGGGGUGGUUUUACAUCACCGAGCCGCGCGACCCUAAGUGGAUCGCAGCCCCCGAGUUCCGGUCCGGACCCCCAACGCGGCUCACGUCCUGGAAAGUGACGGGCCUGUCGUGGGGUAGCAAAGGAGAGGUGACUGGACUGCAAACAUGCAUCGAAACCCUGGUGGACAAGCAGCUUAGGCUUGUCAACAUAGUCCAGGUUAUGCUCAUCCGCCGGAUCCUCCCGUGUCAACAACGGGCCUUCAAUCUGUGGGAGUUCAACCUGGAGCAGCACCGAACUCUGAGCAGGCUCUUCGACACGACGUAUGAAGAUGUUUGGAAGGUGCUUUUCAAGGGCGCCGAGGCUCCCGCAUCUGCUACCGAGGAUCGCGGAUUCAGCGCGCAGCGUCAUGCUAGCGCGGUAAGUUGUUUGUACCUUUUACAGGGUAUUUGUUUUUCAUAGUUUAACUCUAUGCGGGAUCUAAGCUCCCUUACCUUUGACAGGUUUGGCAGGCGAAGUUCGGACAGAUCGACUGUCCGGCUCCUUUGCCCGAAGACCCAGCCGAUGCCCGCUUGGCAAAGCUGCUGGUUCCGGCACCCUAUGUGGUGCCGGAGAAGAAGGCCACGAAGAAAGCCACGGGGACUCAAAAAAGUGCCCGGCGCCAGGAGGUGCCGAGUUCAUCAUUCGACGGCUCCAAGGCGCACUCCUCCCGUGAGGACGAGGAGGAGGAAGAAGAGACCUCUCCCCCUCUAGCGGGGGGAGACAAGAAAAGGAAGGCCGCCCUCACUGGGGAGGCUGGAGGGUCCAAGAAGGGGAAAACCCUUCCUCUGGACUACUCCACCAACGCCGACGACGGCGGAGAGGAGUGGCCGCUCAGGGCCAAGCCCCUGGCGAAAUCGUAAGUAUCCGGAUACCAGAGUAAUUCAUAGUAUUCCUUUAUUGCACAUCUUUCCCUUAUGUCGAAUAUGUUUAUGCAGCCCGCCCAAAGACCGGCUCGACGCGUCGUCGAGCGGUUCACUAGACUCGUCAGAUGUGAAUUCGCUUCCGACGGCUUCCUCCCCCCGCCCUACGGACGACGCCGAAGUGUUGUCCCAAUGGGUUCCAAGCCAGGAGGAGGUGGUCCUGGAGGCGCCGCAAGGCAACCUCCCGGACUCCAGGAGUAAAGGGGAUAAAACCCCCCAGGGCUCCAAGUCAGGCCAUAGGCCGGACACCGCUCUGGAACCUUCAAAGGUUCCUGAGUCCGGCGGGCGACCUCCUUCCAAGAGGAGCAAGCCCACCGUGCCAGUGACCCCCGUCCAACGGGAGGCGUCGGACAAUCUGUUGGAGGUGCUCAAAGGCGCCUCCAUCGACGAGGAGCACCGCACCAUUAUGAGUGCGGUGGUCCAGAAGGUUCAGUCCGCCAAAAGCAGACUGACUGAAGCUUGUACUAGCCUUUUAAUAGGCUUUGAGGUAAGUAAAGAAUGUGUAAAUAAUAUUACCGCAUAGACAGUAGCCCCUGAUGCUCUGUUUGGCGUUCGGGAAGAAAAGCCGAAUAGAGGAUCAAAUAAAAUUCGCAGGAGUCUAACAAAAAGGAGUCAAUAUGCGUAUGCAGGCUUCUCUACUAGCGUCCACCGUACUGACUGCGGAAGUGGACAUGCUAAAGCAGAACCUUGAGCAGUCCGAGCAAGAGCUCGGGCGUGCCAAGAAGCAGCUCGAGGACAAGGAAGGUAAGAAAUACCUUGUUUAAAUAUAUAUAUAAAAGUGCAAUUGCAAAAAAUGACAGGAUUAUCGUGGCUAUUGUAGGGGCCACGUCUGAGGUGGCGACCCUUAAGCAAGCGCUGGUCGAGGCCGAGAAGAGGGCGGCCACGGAGUGCACCGAGAGGGAGAAGUAUGAGGCCUAGGUUGGCAAGGUGCAGCAAGAGCUCCAUGCUCUCAUGAAAAAACAUGAGAGUUUGGAGCUUAACUCAAAGACGCGAGCGUCCGAGCUCGCGGUGGCUAUUGAAAAUGCCAAGUCUGCCAAGGCCGAAUCCCAGAAGACCCUCCAGGAGUUGGAUGCGGUGAAAAAGAUAGCGGCGGGUAAGGCAUUCUUUAUGCAAAGCAAACACAUAAGCAUGAGUUACUUGUUACUUACCCGAAUCCGGAGCUCUCCAGGAGCAUUCGUAGAUCUUCCCCGUAGCAUGUCCGAUGCCGCCGCAUUCUAUCGAGCCGAGGAAGGCAGCUCGACAGAGAAGGUGUUCUGGUCUCAGUAUGCUGAGGCCGGACACCCCGUGCCCCUGAGCGACCAGCUGAAGCAACUGGUCGAGCUCCACAAGGCGGCCGAACAGGCCAUGAAGGGCCUCAUAGUUCGGCUGUGGCCUGGAGAGGCUCUGCCUGGGAGCUAUUUCGGGCUGGUGCGGCGGCUGGUGGGGGCCUGUCCAAGGCUCGAAGUCAUCCAGCUCUCCGUCUGCAUUGAAGGUGCCCGUAGGGCCCUUUCCCGUGCCAAGGUGCACUGGGGCAAGCUGGAUGCUGAGAAGCUUGUGAAGGACGGGCCACCGCCGGGGAAAGAGCAUCGCAAGCCCGAGAAUCAUUAUACAGAUGUUCUGAAGGGUGCCCGCCUUGUGGCGGAUGAAUGUUCGAGGGAUGUAGUUUUUGAGUAAAACUCGCUCGUUUUGUCCUGUGCGCUGAAAACGUGUUCAUAUGCGCUAAGCAAUGCUAUUGGAAUUUAAAAUAUUACCUUCUGUGCGGCUGUUUAUCAAUUCUGAGAGAUGGCGAGUCGUCGGCUUCUACCCCCGUGCUGCUAGUGCUGGGGUGUUCGGGGAUAAACCUGAGCGCUCUUUUUCCCAUGUUUGGGUCCUUCGAGGGAGGCGCUCAGCACAACGAACAAGGCAAUCGGACUAUAAUGCGUGAACACUCUCACUUAGCCAUAGAAUUCUAUAAUUUUAGGUUUCGGUGAAGCCCCCGGUAUUCGGAAGACCGAGUUCGGGGCGCUAUCCACGCGUUGGCCGGACAGAGCCGACUCCUCGCUCUAAGUGGCAUAAGUCUUUACGGACUCGAAAAACCUCUCGAACAGCGACUGGCUCUCGCUUCAAUAUGACAGUCAGUUUUAGCUUUCUCUACUGAGGUGCUCGACCUAGCUCAACUGGGGCACAAUCGCAGUAGUUCUCCUAGUGCUACCUUAGCCGAUAUAGCGGAAUGUAAGGCACCAAAACAUAGGAUCCGGGCAAACCCAACUAUUGACCCAAGACAUGAUUCGGAGCCGAUGCAUAUAAUGCUAUAAGUUCGGGGUGCCGCACUUGUUAAAGUGUUCGGACUUCUCACACCAUAUUGAGGGGUACUAAAGCCCCUGGCGUAUUUUGGCCGUACCAAAGUGUACGGGUGCAACAUGUCGUUAAGGAACAUAUAUUUAUAAAAAAAGUAAUGCAAAGAGAGACAAAAGCUAUGCAUUGUUUAUUAAAAAGGGCUGCGAUCAAAGCAGAACGAUACAAAUAAUGCGAUAAGCAAAAGGUUGGACUAUUUAACAUGUCCGUUCCAGGGGCAGGCUGCGGAAUGGUAUGCAAAACAGGUGUACUGCUCAUGAUAGAAACCACCUGGGAGUUCCGUGAUGCGACAUGGCUUGUCGCUUCCCUGGUUCUUGCAUCGUUUGUGCGGCAAUUGAACUGCCGAACAGGCCUUUCGAAGAGUGGAGUCUUGAAAGUAAGAUAAAAUUAAAAAAUCGGCAGCCCCUGGUGCGGUUUAAGCCAUGUUUCGGGCGUGCCGUGAUGGUGCCCCUCCCCCUGUACCCAUGGUAUUUCUAAAGCGUAGUUAUGUACGCGAAGUACUGGUGUCGCAUUUUUGCAAGGGCUGGGGUUGGGGCCGCAUUGCUACGCCUGCUCGGAACGUGCCAGGCGGUCUUGUUGUAGGUUACUUCGGGUGCGCUUGACGGUGUCCGGACGUUUAAUGGCCGGACUGGAGAACUGCCUGGAGAGGCUGCUUUGUACUUCCACUGCAAGGGCCGCCGUGUGCUCCUCCGUUCAGAGAGAGCGUUCGGUGUUUCCAUUCACCGUAAUUACUCCUUGAGGGCCUGUCAUCUUGAGCUUAAGGUAUGCGUAGUGCGGUACCGCAUUGAACUUGGCGAAUGCGGUUCGCCCGAGCAGUGCGUGAUAACCACUGUGGAAUGGGACUAUGUCGAAGAUUAACUUCUCGCUUCGGAAAUUAUCCAGAGAUCCGAAGACCACUUCAAGUGUGACUGAGCCUGUAGAGUUGGCCUCUACACCUGGUAUUAUGCCUUUAAAGGUCGUUUUGGUGGGCUUAAUCCUCGAGGGAUCUAUGCCCAUUUUCCGCACUGUAUCCUGGUAAAGUAGGUUCAGGCUGCUGCCGCUGUCCAUAAGGACUCUAGUGAGAUGAAAUCCGUCAAUGAUUGCGUCUAGAACCAAUGCAGCGAAUCCGCCAUGACGGGUGCUAGUGGGAUGGUCCCUUCGAUCAAAGGUGAUCGGGCAGGAGGACCAUGGGUUGAACUUUGGGGCGACUGGCUCUACCGCGUAUACGUCCCUUAACGCGCGCUUCCGCUCCCUCUUGGGGAUGUGGGUUGCGUAUAUCAUGUUCACUGUCCGCACUUGUGGGGGAAAACCCUUCUGUCCACUGUUGUUCAGCGACCGGGGCUCUUCGUCGUCAUCGCUUGCCUGCCUGCUUGAACACCCAACAAUCCCUUCUGUCCUCGUGUCUUUAUUUUUGGCAUUUAACUUGCCUGCCUGCUUGAACACCCAACAAUCCCUGUUGGUGUGAUUGGCCGGCUUUUCGGGGGUGCCAUGUAUCUGGCACAAGCGGUCUAGUAUUCGAUCCAAACUGGAUGGGCCACUAGGAUUUCUUUUGAAUGGCUUUUUCCGCUGACCGGAUUUAUAGCCUCUGAAUCCGGCAUUAACUGCCGUAUCCUCAGCAUUGUCGCCGUUAGUGCGGCGCUUCUGCUUGUUGUGAUGCGACCUGCCACUACUGUCCCUGGUAUCUGAAUUACCAGGGUUCUUGGUCAUAUUGUUGCUACGAGCAAGCCAGCUGUCUUCUCCCGCGCAAAAGCGGGUCAUGAGUGUCGUGAGUGCUGCCAUAGAUUUCGGCUUUUCCUGUCCAAGGUGUCGGGCAAGCCACUCGUCAUGGAUAUUGUGCUUGAAGGCUGCUAGGGCCUCUGCAUCCGGACAGUUGACUAUUUGAUUUUUCUUUCUUAGGAACCGUGUCCAGAAUUGCUUGGCCGAUUCCUCUGGCUAUUGAAUUACGCUCUGGAUAACCUUGAGGAGCUUGAUUUCAUCAACCAUCUGUUAGAGAAACCACAGCGGGCAUUGAUCCUCCGCUUCUCGCCCACCCUCCGUGUUGCCAACAUUGGUGGAUGCAACCUCUCGGACGUCAACUUCCAUGAGCUCCACCUUCACUUCCCCUUGCUUAAGCAACUCGGUCUUGUAAAUGUCAUGAUCUCGGAGAGCUCGCUGCAUAGCCUGAUUGCCGGGUGCCCAGCUCUCGAGUGCUUGAUGAUUGACAUGUGCUCUGGCUUCCGCCGCAUCCGAAUAAACUCCCCAACUAUUAGAUGCAUGGCUGUGAGAGAAUAUGGGAUACCGAUAGAGUCACUGCUGCUUGAACAAAUCGUCAUUGAGAAAGCUCCUUGUCUUGUGAGGCUGCUCUUUGAGAGGGGCAAUAUUCUGCAGGUAACCGUACUCGCAGCUCCUAAACUGGAGACUUUAGGCUUCAUUAGUGAUAAGUGCAGGUCAGGUGAAUUGUCCAGACUCAUGAUUGGCUCCACUAUUAUUCAGGUAUGUCCUAUGGCUUCUCAGUUGCAUUUCUAUGCGCAGAAAAAUUGCCUAUCACCUGACCUGUGCACUGGCCUAAUAUUGUGGCUUUCAUACUUGAUAAAGGGAUUGUGUGUUGAUAACCUGAUAACAGUGGUACAAACUGUCAAGAUUUUGGCUCUUGAUAUGCACAAUCUUAGUUUGGAUACUGUUAUUGAAUUGAUGAGAUGCUUUCCGUGCUUGGAGAAGUUGAGCAUUCAGGUGAUGUUUCUUCAUUGAUAGUUCAGCAACCUUUUUGAUCUACUUUUGGUCUGAACUUGUUGAUUUGGUUAUUUGUGUAUGUUAUUUCAGUCAUUUCAAUCAAGACCGGGGAAUUUGUGGCGUCGUAAACACCGGAAUCUGUUAAAAUGUUUUGACAUGAGUCUGAAGACGUUAGUGUUACAACUAUAUCGGGGGAAGAAGUCGCAAAUUAACUUUCUUACAUUCUUUGUAUUGAAUGCGAAAGUGCUAGAGUCAGUGACACUUGGCAUCACAACCAGGAAUAACAAUGAGAAGUUCUUGGUAAAACAACGCAGGAAGCUUGAGCUAGAGAACAGGGUUUCCAGAGAUGCUCAGUUUCAUUUUAGAACUGGUAGUUGUGUCCGCAGUUCUUAUGAUAUCAAGCAUAUCGGUGAUUUGGAUUUAACUGAUCCAUUUGCACAUAUGUAGCUACUUGUUCUUGCCGGUUGGCCUAUUUCAUUUUGUGUGUUGUCAAACCUGAGUGGUUAGCGUGUUUGUAGUACCUUUUGAGUUUGUAUCAUCUGGUACCUUAGUAGAAUUCGAGAGACUAUUGUUUAUGAUACUUUUGUCAGACGGGCCACAUGUUUGCAACCCUGUGCUAGUUUACAUUAACUCCGGUGUUGGUGUUAUUUCA